rnacentral:rRNA from 1 species
CCUACGGGAGGCUGCAGUAGGGAAUAUUGCUCAAUGGGGGAAACCCUGAAGCAGCAACGCCGCGUGGAGGAUGAAGGUUUUCGGAUUGUAAACUCCUUUUGUUAGAGAAGAUAAUGACGGUAUCUAACGAAUAAGCACCGGCUAACUCCGUGCCAGCAGCCGCGGUAAUACGGAGGGUGCAAGCGUUACUCGGAAUCACUGGGCGGAAAGAGCGCGUAGGCGGGAUAGCAAGUCAGAUGUGAAAUCCUAUGGCUUAACCAUAGAACUGCAUUUGAAACUGUUAUUCUAGAGUAUGGGAGAGGUAGGUGGAAUUCUUGGUGUAGGGGUAAAAUCCGUAGAGAUCAAGAGGAAUACUCAUUGCGAAGGCGACCUGCUAGAACAUAACUGACGCUGAUGCGCGAAAGCGUGGGGAGCAAACAGGAUUAGAUACCCCGGUAGUC